rnacentral:rRNA from 1 species
GAUGAACGCUGGCGGCGUGCUUAACACAUGCAAGUCGAACGAAGCACUUUAUUUUAUUUCCUUCGGGACUGAUUCUUUUGUGACUGAGUGGCGGAGGGAUGCGUAACGCGUGGGUAGCCUGCCUUGUACAGGGGGAUACCAGUUGGACACGACUGCUAAUACCGCAUAACCGCUCGUCAUAGCAUGAUGCUGUGUGAAAACCUCCUGUGGUAUAAUAUGGACCCGCGUUGGAUUAGCUAGUAGGUGAGGUAACGGCCCACCAAGGCGAAGAUUCAUAGCUGAGAUUGGAGGGGGACCGGGAACACUGGGACAGAGACCAGGACCAAACUGCUACGGGAGGCAGGAGUGGGGAACAUGGAACAAUGGGCGAAAGACGAAUGCAGAGACGCCGUGUGAGUGAAGUAUAAGAUCGGUAUGUAAAGCUCUAUGAGAAGGGAAGAUAAUGACGGUACCUGACUAAGAAGCAACGGCUAAAUACGUG